rnacentral:rRNA from 1 species
GACGAACGCUGGCGGCGUGCUUAACACAUGCAAGUCGAACGGAAAGGCCCUGCUUUUGUGGGGUGCUCGAGUGGCGAACGGGUGAGUAACACGUGAGUAACCUGCCCUUGACUUUGGGAUAACUUCAGGAAACUGGGGCUAAUACCGGAUAGGAGCUCCUGCUGCAUGGUGGGGGUUGGAAAGUUUCGGCGGUUGGGGAUGGACUCGCGGCUUAUCAGCUUGUUGGUGGGGUAGUGGCUUACCAAGGCUCUGACGGGUAGCCGGCCUGAGAGGGUGACCGGCCACAUUGGGACUGCGAUACGGCCCAGACUCCUACGGGAGGCAGCAGGGGGGAAUAUUGCACAAUGGGCGGAAGCCUGAUGCAGCAACGCCGCGUGCGGGAUGACGGCCUUCGGGUUGUAAACCGCUUUCGCCUGUGACGAAGCGUGAGUGACGGUAAUUGGUAAAGAAGCACCGGCUAACUACGUG